GACGAGCCACACAAGCGUUAUUCGGAAUUACUGGGCUUAAAGGGUGCGUAGGCUGCGCGGAAAGUUGGGUGUGAAAUCCCUCGGCUCAACCGAGGAACUGCGCCCAAAACUACCGUGCUCGAGGAAGAUAGAGGUAAGCGGAACUUACGGUGGAGCGGUGAAAUGCGUUGAUACCGUAAGGAACACCUGUGGCGAAAGCGGCUUACUGGGUCUUUUCUGACGCUGAUGCACGAAAGCUAGGGGAGCAAACGGG
rnacentral:rRNA from 1 species